rnacentral:rRNA from 1 species
GGAUGUGAUCAUACCAGCACUAAAUCACCAGAUCCCAUCAGAACUCUGAAGUUAAGCGUGCUUGGAUGAGAGUAGUACUAGGAUGGGUGACCUCUUGGGAAGUCCUUGUGUUGCAUUCC